rnacentral:rRNA from 1 species
GAUGAACGCUGGCGGCGUGCCUAAUACAUGCAAGUCGAGCGAACGGACGAGAAGCUUGCUUCUCUGAUGUUAGCGGCGGACGGGUGAGUAACACGUGGAUAACCUACCUAUAAGACUGGGAUAACUUCGGGAAACCGGAGCUAAUACCGGAUAAUAUUUUGAACCGCAUGGUUCAAAAGUGAAAGACGGUCUUGCUGUCACUUAUAGAUGGAUCCGCGCUGCAUUAGCUAGUUGGUAAGGUAACGGCUUACCAAGGCAACGAUGCAUAGCCGACCUGAGAGGGUGAUCGGCCACACUGGAACUGAGACACGGUCCAGACUCCUACGGGAGGCAGCAGUAGGGAAUCUUCCGCAAUGGGCGAAAGCCUGACGCAGCAACGCCGCGUGAGUGAUGAAGGUCUUCGGAUCGUAAAACUCUUUUAUUAGGGAAGAACAUAUGUGUAAGUAACUGUGCACAUCUUGACGGUACCGAAUCAGAAAGCCACGGCUAACUACGUG